rnacentral:rRNA from 1 species
AWWUAARAGKUUUGAAUCAUGGCUCAAGGAUGAACGCUGGCGGCGUGCUAAUACAUGCAAGUCGAACGAACUUCCGUUAAUUGAUUAUGRCGUACUUGUACUGAUKGAGAUUUUAACACGAAGUGAGUGGCGAACGGGUGAGUAACACGUGGGUAACCUGCCCAGAAGUAGGGGAUAACACCUGGAAWCAGAUGCUAAUACCGUAUAACAGAGAAAACCGCAUGGUUUUCUUUUAAAAGAUGGCUCUGCUAUCACUUCUGGAUGGACCCGCGGCGUAUUAGCUAGUUGGUGAGGUAAAGGCUCACCAAGGCAGUGAUACGUAGCCGACCUGAGAGGGUAAUCGGCCACAUUGGGACUGAGACACGGCCCAGACUCCUACGGGAGGCAGCAGUAGGGAAUCUUCCACAAUGGACGCAAGUCUGAUGGAGCAACGCCGCGUGAGUGAAGAAGGGUUUCGGCUCGUAAAGCUCUGUUGUUAAAGAAGAACGUGGGUAAGAGUAACUGUUUACCCAGUGACGGUAUUUAACCAGAAAGCCACGGCUAACUACGUGCCAGCAGCCGCGGUAAUACGUAGGUGGCAAGCGUUAUCCGGAUUUAUUGGGCGUAAAGCGAGCGCAGGCGGUCUUUUAAGUCUAAUGUGAAAGCCUUCGGCUCAACMGAAGAAGUGCAUUGGAAACUGGGAGACUUGAGUGCAGAAGAGGACAGUGGAACUCCAUGUGUAGCGGUGAAAUGCGUAGAUAUAUGGAAGAACACCAGUGGCGAAGGCGGCUGUCUGGUCUGCAACUGACGCUGAGGCUCGAAAGCAUGGGUAGCGARCAGGAUUAGAUACCCUGGUAGUCCAURCCGUAAACGAUGAUUACUAAGUGWWGGAGGGUWUCCRCCCUUCAGUGCKCCACMUUACGCAUUCCCUURRUUWCCSGYCCU